GAUGAAGAACGUAGCGAAAUGCGAUAAGUAAUGCGAAUUGCAGAAUUCCAGUGAGUCAUCGAAUCUUUGAACGCACAUUGCGCCCUUUGGUAUUCCGAAGGGCAUGCCUGUUCGAGCGUCAUUAUCACCCCUCAAGCCCUCGGCUUGGUGUUGGACGGUUUUGUGGAGGCCCCCUCGGGGGCUCCUGCCCCUCCCAAAGACAAUGACGGCGGCCUCGUUGGACCCCCGGUACACUGAGUUCUUCACGGGACACGUAUCGGACACAUGGGUUUACGGGACACGGUCUGCCUCCCCUCAGGGAGAAUCUUUCUAAGGUUGACCUCGGAUCAGGUAGGGAUACCCGCUGAACUUAAGCAUAUCAAUAAGCGGAGGA
rnacentral:misc_RNA from 1 species